rnacentral:rRNA from 1 species
GAUGAACGCUGGCGGCGUGCCUAAUACAUGCAAGUCGAGCGAACAGACGAGGAGCUUGCUCCUCUGACGUUAGCGGCGGACGGGUGAGUAACACGUGGAUAACCUACCUAUAAGACUGGGAUAACUUCGGGAAACCGGAGCUAAUACCGGAUAAUAUAUUGAACCGCAUGGUUCAAUAGUGAAAGACGGUUUUGCUGUCACUUAUAGAUGGAUCCGCGCCGCAUUAGCUAGUUGGUAAGGUAACGGCUUACCAAGGCAACGAUGCGUAGCCGACCUGAGAGAGUGAUCGGCCACACUGGAACUGAGACGCGGUCAAGACUCCUACGGGAGGCAGCAGUAGGGAAUCUUCCGCAAUGGGCGAAAGCCUGACGGAGCAACGCCGCGUGAGUGAUGAAGGUCUUCGGAUCGUAAAACUCUGUUAUUAGGGAAGAACAAAUGUGUAAGUAACUAUGCCCGUCUUGACGGUACCUAAUCAGAAAGCCACGGCUAACUACGUG